GACGUAGGGUGCAAGCGUUGUCCGGAUUUAUUGGGCGUAAAGAGCUCGUAGGUGGCCUGCCGCGUCGGAUGUGAAAACCCGGGGCUCAACCCCGGGCCUGCAUUCGAUACGGGCAGGCUAGAGGAUGGCAGGGGAAACUGGAAUUCCUGGUGUAGCGGUGAAAUGCGCAGAUAUCAGGAGGAACACCGGUGGCGAAGGCGGGUUUCUGGGCCAUUCCUGACACUGAGGAGCGAAAGCGUGGGGAGCAAACAGG
rnacentral:rRNA from 1 species